rnacentral:rRNA from 1 species
UAGGGAAUCUUCCACAAUGGACGCAAGUCUGAUGGAGCAACGCCGCGUGAGUGAAGAAGGUUUUCGGACCGUAAAGCUCUGUUGUUGGUGAAGAAGGAUAGAGGUAGUAACUGGCCUUUAUUUGACGGUAAUCAACCAGAAAGUCACGGCUAACUACGUGCCAGCAGCCGCGGUAAUACGUAGGUGGCAAGCGUUGUCCGGAUUUAUUGGGCGUAAAGCGAGCGCAGGCGGAAGAAUAAGUCUGAUGUGAAAGCCCUCGGCUUAACCGAGGAAUUGCAUCGGAAACUGUUUUUCUUGAGUGCAGAAGAGGAGAGUAGAACUCCAUGUGUAGCGGUGGAAUGCGUAGAUAUAUGGAAGAAUACCAGUGGCGAAGGCGGCUCUCUGGUCUGCAACUGACGCUGAGGCUCGAAAGCAUGGGUAGCGAACAGGAUUAGAUACCCUGGUAGCCCAUGCCGUAAACGAUGAGUGCUAAGUGUUGGGAGGCUUCCGCCUCUCAGUGCUGCAGCUAACGCAUUAAGCACUCCGCCUGGGGGAGUACGACCGCAAGGUUGAA